AUUCUGCUUUAGCCGAUUUAUAUUUAGUUGUAGAGUGACCAUUCUGCAUCUGCUCAAUUGAAUGGGAACAUACGACACAUUUAUAAAGGAUUGGAUUGAGACAAUGAAUUGAAGGGAAAGUAGAUUUCAUCACUGGUUAAAAGCAUGAUGUGUUUUUCCAUGCCAUUUCAAAAUAUUUCUCUUCCCCAUAGUUGAUAUUACAAUCACUCUUUAAAGUCCUCUCUUUAACUAUAUUGGGAUUCUAUGGCAAUGGGAAAGAAUGACAUCGAGGGG
rnacentral:misc_RNA from 1 species